UUGUCCGGAAUUACUGGGUGUAAAGGGAGCGUAGGCGGGACGGUAAGUCAGGUGUGAAAUAUACGUGCUCAACAUGUAGACUGCACUUGAAACUGCUGUUCUUGAGUGAAGUAGAGGUAAGCGGAAUUCCUAGUGUGGCGGUGAAAUGCGUAGAUAUUAGGAGGAACAUCGGUGGCGAAGGCGGCUUACUGGGCUUUUACUGACGCUGAGGCUCGAAAGCGUGGGGAGCAAACAGGAUUAGAUACCCUGGUAGUCCACGCUGUAAACGAUGAUUACUAGGUGUGGGGGGACUGACCCCUUCCGUGCCGCAGUUAACACAAUAAGUAAUCCACCUGGGGAGUACGACCGCAAGGUUGAAACUCAA
rnacentral:rRNA from 1 species